rnacentral:lncRNA from 1 species
UACAUUCCCUCCUAAUAAAAGUAAUGAAAAAAAAAAUUGAUUAGAUGUUUGUUAUACAAGCCACAAAUUGUGUGGAUUGUACAAAUAGAGUUAAUAUUGAAAUGAAUAAGAAUGUAUAUACUACUGAAACUAGGAAGGAUUAAGCAGAAUUAUUCUUGCAUAGCACAAUGGAAAAUUAUUGGAUUUAGAGUCACAGGGUCUGUAUGAGAAUACUUGCUUUGACCCUCAUUACCUGUUUGACCUUUUACAAUUUAUUUAACCUCUCAGAUGGUCAGUAUCAUUCUUUAUAAAAAAGGUGAUUGGACUUGACCUCUAAGUUGCCUUUGAGGGUUAAAUCUCAUCUUAUUGUAAUGAUUAUAUUACAGUGGGGUAUUUGGGGGGAUCUGCUGCAUUUCUAUCACCCAAGCUCUAACCUCUAACCAGUUACUAAUAUUUUUAUGUCUUGCAUAACUAUCUUAGGGCAGAAUUGUAACUAAGAGAAGAAAACUGGGGCUAUGCAUCAGGACAUUGAAAUUGAUAAGGCAUUAAAAGUAUUUGUACUCCUCUAGUAGCCUAGAAACAGCAAAGCUUAGCAUCUAAUGUGCUAAAAAUAAGUAGUUAAAAUAGGAAACUAGGAUAUAGCUACAAAUCAAUUGAAUUCUUCUCAGGCCUAUCAUUGACCAGUUUUCUACCAUAUCCCAGGGGACAGCCUUUACAGUAAUGAAUUGAUAAAGUGAGAAACAUCCUUGAAAAUAUGGGCCAUUCAGCACAAAAAUGUUACCACAACUCAGAAAUCAUACAUGUAAUCAGGAUUUGCUCCUAUAUACCCCAAAGGAACCAAUGUUGCCUAUCCCUCUUCUUUCACACACUUUCUUCACUUGCCUUACCUUUACCCAGUCAGAGGAUGGAUGACCUCUGUACCUAACCUUUGUUUCAUAGCAGGACCCUAUAGUAGACUCCACUAUUAGGAGUAUUAUGGUAAUAGGAAAUGCUAGAGUUGUAACUUCAGGAAGUCAACUAGGGGAAAGACUGGAUCUUGGGCUUCUCCCCCUACCCUUCUUCCCUUUUCCUUUCAAUUGUCUUGAAUUUCUUCCCAGAAAUGGCAAGGGAACUGAAGCCAGAGAAGUGAGACAUUUGCUGAAGAUUACUCAAGGCAAUUAAACUAAACCGGAGACUUGGAACCUCUGAUUCAAAAUCUAUGUAUUCAAUAAAUGAUGAUAAACAAUUUGAGGUGUUGUCUUU